rnacentral:rRNA from 1 species
CAGUGGCGGACGGGUGAGUAACGCGUAGGUAUCUGUCCUUGGGUGGGGGAUAACGCUGGGAAACUGGUGCUAAUACCGCAUGAUGAGGUCCAAAGGCGCAUCGCCUGGGGAGGAGCCUGCGUCCGAUUAGCUUGUUGGUGGGGUAAUGGCCUACCAAGGCUGCGAUCGGUAGCUGGUCUGAGAGGAUGAUCAGCCACAUUGGGACUGAGACACGGCCCAAACUCCUACGGGAGGCAGCAGUGGGGAAUAUUGGACAAUGGGCGCAAGCCUGAUCCAGCAAUGCCGCGUGGAUGAAGAAGGUUUUCGGAUUGUAAAGUCCUUUCGGCGGGGACGAUGAUGACGGUACCCGCAGAAGAAGCCCCGGCUAACUUCGUGCCAGCAGCCGCGGUAAUACGAAGGGGGCUAGCGUUGCUCGGAAUGACUGGGCGUAAAGGGCGCGUAGGCGGUUUGGUUAGUUAGACGUGAAAUUCCUGGGCUCAACCUGGGGACUGCGUUUAAUACAGCCAGACUAGAGUGUGGAAGAGGGUUGUGGAAUUCCCAGUGUAGAGGUGAAAUUCGUAGAUAUUGGGAAGAACACCGGUGGCGAAGGCGGCAACCUGGUCCAUGAC